CCUACGGGAGGCAGCAGGGAGGAAUAAUGGACAAUGGGCGAGAGCCUGAAGCAGCGAAGUAGCGUGAAGGAUGACAGCCCUACGGGUUGUAAACUUCUUUUAUAAAGGAAUAAAGUGAGGCACGUGUGCCUUUUUGUAUGUACCCUACGAAUAAGGAUCGGCUAACUCCGUGCCAGCAGCCGCGGUAAUACGGAGGAUCCGAGCGUUAUCCGUAUUUAUUGGGUGUAAAGGGAGCGUAGAGGGGUUGUUAAGUCAGUUGUGAAAGUUUGCGGCUCAACCGUAAAAUUGCAGUUGAUACUGGCAGUCUUGAGUACAGGUGAGGUAGGCGGAAUUCGUGGUGUAGCGGUGAAAUGCUUAGAUAUCACGAAGAACUCCGAUUGCGAAGGCAGCUUACUAGACUGCAACUGACGUUGAUGCUCGAAAGUGUGGGUAUCAAACAGGAUUAGAUACCCCAGUAGUC
rnacentral:rRNA from 1 species